rnacentral:rRNA from 1 species
AACGAACGCUGGCGGCGUGCUUAACACAUGCAAGUCGAACGUGAUUUUUGUGGAAAUUCUUUCGGGAAUGGAAAUGAAAUGAAAGUGGCGAACGGGUGAGUAACACGUGAGCAACCUACCUUACACAGGGGGAUAGCCGUUGGAAACGACGAUUAAUACCGCAUGAGACCACAGAAUCGCAUGAUAUAGGGGUCAAAGAUUUAUCGGUGUAAGAAGGGCUCGCGUCUGAUUAGCUAGUUGGAAGGGUAAAGGCCUACCAAGGCGACGAUCAGUAGCCGGUCUGAGAGGAUGAACGGCCACAUUGGAACUGAGACACGGUCCAAACUCCUACGGGAGGCAGCAGUGGGGAAUAUUGCACAAUGGGGGAAACCCUGAUGCAGCAACGCCGCGUGAACGAUGAAGGCCUUUGGGUCGUAAAGUUCUGUUCUAGGUGAUGAAAACUGACAGUAACCUAGGAGAAAGCCCCGGCUAACUCCGUGCCAGCAGCCGCGGUAAUACGGAGGGGGCAAGCGUUAUCCGGAAUUAUUGGGCGUAAAGGGUACGUAGGUGGCCUUUUAAGCGUAGGGUAUAAGGCAAUGGCUCAACAAUUGUUCGCCCUAUGAACUGGAAGGCUUGAGUGCAGGAGAGGAAAGCGGAAUUCCUAGUGUAGCGGUGGAAUGCAUAGAUAUUAGGAGGAACAUCAGCGGCGAAGGCGGCUUUCUGGACUGCAACUGACACUGAGGUACGAAAGCGUGGGGAGCAAACAGG